AAGGGUUUGAUCCUGGCUCAGAUUGAACGCUGGCGGCAGGCCUAACACAUGCAAGUCGAGCGGAUGAAGGGAGCUUGCUCCUGGAUUCAGCGGCGGACGGGUGAGUAAUGCCUAGGAAUCUGCCUGGUAGUGGGGGAUAACGUCCGGAAACGGGCGCUAAUACCGCAUACGUCCUGAGGGAGAAAGUGGGGGAUCUUCGGACCUCACGCUAUCAGAUGAGCCUAGGUCGGAUUAGCUAGUUGGUGGGGUAAAGGCCUACCAAGGCGACGAUCCGUAACUGGUCUGAGAGGAUGAUCAGUCACACUGGAACUGAGACACGGUCCAGACUCCUACGGGAGGCAGCAGUGGGGAAUAUUGGACAAUGGGCGAAAGCCUGAUCCAGCCAUGCCGCGUGUGUGAAGAAGGUCUUCGGA
rnacentral:rRNA from 1 species